GAUGAACGCUAGCGGCAGGCCUAAUACAUGCAAGUCGGACGGGAUCUAUCGGAGAGCUUGCUCGAAGAUAGUGAGAGUGGCGCACGGGUGCGUAACGCGUGAGCCACCUACCCAUAUCAGGGGGAUAGCCCGGAGAAAUCCGGAUUAAGCCCGCAUAACACUGUGAACUGGCAUCAAUUUACAGUUAAAUAUUUAUAGGAUAUGGAUGGGCUCGCGUGACAUUAGCGAGUUGGUGUGGUAAAGGCUCACACAGGCGACGACGGCUAGGGGCUCUGAGAGGGGAAUCCCCCACACUGGGACUGAGACACGGACCAGACUCCUACGGGAGGCAGCAGUAAGGAAUAUUGGUCAAUGGGCGGAAGCCUGAACCAGCCAUGCCGCGUGCAGGACGACUGCCCUAUGGGUUGUAAACUGCUUUUGUCGAGGAAUAAACCUAUCUACGAGUAGAUAGCUGAACGUACUCGAAGAAUAAGGAUCGGCUAACUCCGUGCCAGCAGCCGCAGUAA
rnacentral:rRNA from 1 species